rnacentral:rRNA from 1 species
AUGAACGCUGGCGGCGUGCCUCAUACAUUCAAGUCGAGCGAACAGACGAGGAGCUUGCUCCUCUGACGUUAGCGGCGGACGGGUGAGUAACACGUGGAUAACCUACCUAUAAGACUGGGAUAACUUCGGGAAACCGGAGCUAAUACCGGAUAAUAUAUUGAACCGCCUGGUUCAAUAGUGAAAGACGGUUUUGCUGUCACUUAUAGAUGGAUCCGCGCCGCAUUAGCUAGUUGGUAAGGUAACGGCUUACCAAGGCAACGAUGCGUAGCCGACCUGAGAGGGUGAUCGGCCACACUGGAACUGAGACACGGUCCAGACUCCUACGGGAGGCAGCAGUAGGGAAUCUUCCGCAAUGGGCGAAAGCCUGACGGAGCAACGCCGCGUGAGUGAUGAAGGUCUUCGGAUCGUAAAACUCUGUUAUUAGGGAAGAACAAAUGUGUAAGUAACUAUGCACGUCUUGACGGUACCUAAUCAGAAAGCCACGGCUAACUACGUG